GACGAACGCUGGCGGCGUGCUUAACACAUGCAAGUCGAACGGAAAGGCCCUGCUUUUGUGGGGUGCUCGAGUGGCGAACGGGUGAGUAACACGUGAGUAACCUGCCCUUGACUUUGGGAUAACUUCAGGAAACUGGGGCUAAUACCGGAUAGGAGCUCCUGCUGCAUGGUGGGGGUGGGAAAGUUUCGGCGGUUGGGGAUGGACUCGCGGCUUAUCAGCUUGUUGGUGGGGUAGUGGCUUACCAAGGCUUUGACGGGUAGCCGGACUGAGAGGGUGACCGGCCAAAUUGGGACUGAGAUACGGCCCAGACUCCUACGGGAGGCAGCAGUGGGGAAUAUUGCACGAUGGGCGGAAGCCUGAUGCAGCAACGCCGCGUGCGGGAUGGCGGCCUUCGGGUUGUAGACCGCUUUCGCCUGUGACGAAGCGUGAGUGACGGUAAUGGGUAAAGAAGCACCGGCUAACUACGUG
rnacentral:rRNA from 1 species